CACCAUUUAAUGUGGAUCCUGGGUCUUUUCUGAGGGAUGCUGGAUUUUAUUUGGUGGGGGCUUUGUUUCUGUUUUACGUGUAUUUGAGUGGGGAGAUAACUUUUUGGCAGGCUGUCGGAUUCGUUGGAUUUUACAUGUUCUUUGUUGGGUUUGUGUUUUGGAUGGAUUUGGGAACUGGGGUUGUUCGUAAAAGGGAUGGAGGAGAAACGGAUUAUGAGAAAGGA
rnacentral:misc_RNA from 1 species